rnacentral:rRNA from 1 species
UACGGGGGGGGUAAGCGUUGUUCGGAAUUACUGGGCGUAAAGGGCUCGUAGGCGGCCAACUAAGUCAUACGUGAAAUCCCUCAGCUUAACUGGGGAACUGCGUGUGAUACUGGAUGGCUUGGAUUUGGGAGAGGGAUGCGGAAUUCCAGGUGUAGCGGUGAAAUGCGUAGAUAUCUGGAGGAACACCGGUGGCGAAGGCGGCAUCCUGGACCGAUAUUGACGCUGAUGCGCGAAAGCGUGGGGAGCGAACAGG